rnacentral:rRNA from 1 species
AUUGAACGCUGGCGGCGUGCUUUACACAUGCAAGUCGGGCGGCAGCGCGGGGGCAACCCUGGCGGCGAGCGGCGAACGGGUGAGUAAUGCAUCGGAACGUACCCAGUCGUGGGGGAUAACUGUCCGAAAGGACAGCUAAUACCGCAUACGACCUGAGGGUGAAAGCGGGGGAUCGCAAGACCUCGCGCGAUUGGAGCGGCCGAUGUCGGAUUAGCUAGUUGGUGGGGUAAAGGCCCACCAAGGCGACGAUCUGUAGCUGGUCUGAGAGGACGACCAGCCACACUGGAACUGAGACACGGUCCAGACUCCUACGGGAGGCAGCAGUGGGGAAUUUUGGACAAUGGGGGCAACCCUGAUCCAGCCAUUCCGCGUGAGUGAAGAAGGCCUUCGGGUUGUAAAGCUCUUUCGGCAGGAACGAAACGGUCGUCGCUAAUACCGAUGGCUAAUGACGGUACCUGAAGAAGAAGCACCGGCUAACUACGUGCCAGCAGCCGCAGUAA